rnacentral:rRNA from 1 species
ACUUGAGUGCAGAAGAGGACAGUGGAACUCCAUGUGUAGCGGUGAAAUGCGUAGAUAUAUGGAAGAACACCAGUGGCGAAGGCGGCUGUUUGGUCUGUAACUGACGGUGAGGCUCGAAAGCAUGGGUAGCGAACAGGAUUAGAUACCCUGGUAGUCCAUGCCGUAAACGAUGAUUACUAAGUGUUGGAGGGUUUCCGCCCUUCAGUGCUGCAGCUAACGCAUUAAGUAAUCCGCCUGGGGAGUACGACCGCAAGGUUGAAACUCAAAAAGAAUUGACGGGGGCCCGCACAAGCGGUGGAGCAUGUGGUUUAAUUCGAAGCUACGCGAAGAACCUUACCAGGUCUUGACAUCUUCUGCCAACCUAAGAGAUUAGGCGUUCCCUUCGGGGACAGAAUGACAGGUGGUGCAUGGUUGUCGUCAGCUCGUGUCGUGAGAUGUUGGGUUAAGUCCCGCAACGAGCGCAACCCUUAUUACUAGUUGCCAGCAUUCAGUUGGGCACUCUAGUGAGACUGCCGGUGACAAACCGGAGGAAGGUGGGGACGACGUCAAAUCAUCAUGCCCCCUUAUGACCUGGGCUACACACGUGCUACAAUGGAUGGUACAACGAGUCGCGAAACCGCGAGGUUUAGCUAAUCUCUUAAAACCAUUCUCAGUUCGGACUGUAGGCUGCAACUCGCCUACACGAAGUCGGAAUCGCUAGUAAUCGCGGAUCAGCAUGCCGCGGUGAAUACGUUCCCGGGCCUUGUACACACCGCCCGUCACACCAUGAGAGUUUGUAACACCCAAAGCCGGUGGGGUAACCUCUAGGAGCUAGCCGUCUA